UGUCCGCCCGGGUACUACGAGCACCAGCUUGAAACCCAAAGGACUUGGCGGUUCUUGACAUCCAUCUAGAGGAGCCUGUUCUAUAACCGAUUAUCCCCGUUAAACCUCACCCUCUCUUGUUCUUACCGCCUAUAUACCGCCGUCGUCAGCUUACCCUAUGAAGGUUUUAUAGUGAGCAUAAUUGGCAUAGCCCAAAACGUCAGGUCGAGGUGUAGCGUAUGAGAGGGGAAGAAAUGGGCUACAUUCUCUGCAACCAGAGCAUACGAAAAGUGUGUUGAAAACCACACUAGAAGGAGGAUUUAGUAGUAAGUGGCAAAUAGAGCGUCCCACUGAAACUGGCCCUAGAGCGCGUACACACCGCCCGU
rnacentral:rRNA from 1 species